rnacentral:rRNA from 1 species
CCUACGGGUGGCAGCAGUGGGGAAUCUUGGGCAAUGGGCGAAAGCCUGACCCAGCGACGCCGCGUGAGGGAAGAAGGCCCUCGGGUCGUAAACCUCUGUCAGGAGGGAAGAAAAUGCUAGAGAUUAAGAGUUUCUAGUAUUGACGGUGCCUCCAGAGGAAGCGCCGGCCAACUCCGUGCCAGCAGCCGCGGUAAUACGGAGGGCGCAAGCGUUAUUCGGAAUUACUGGGCGUAAAGCGCGCGUAGGCGGCAACGUAAGUCAGGUGUGAAAGCCCUCGGCUCAACCGGGGGAUGGCACUUGAAACUGCGUAGCUGGAGUUCUGGAGAGGGUGGCGGAAUUCCCGGUGUAGGAGUGAAAUCCGUAGAGAUCGGGAAGAACACCAGAGGCGAAGGCGGCCACCUGGGCAGAAACUGACGCUGAGGCGCGAAAGCGUGGGUAGCAAACAGGAUUAGAUACCCUUGUAGUC